rnacentral:rRNA from 1 species
CGAACGCUGGCGGCAGGCCUAAUACAUGCAAGUCGAACGGCUCUUCGGAGCAGUGGCGGACGGGUGAGUAACGCGUGGGAAUGUGCCCUUUGGUACGGAACAACACAGGGAAACUUGUGCUAAUACCGUAUGUGCCCUUCGGGGGAAAGAUUUAUCGCCAUUGGAGCAGCCCGCGUUGGAUUAGGUAGUGGGUGAGGUAAAGGCUCACCAAGCCUACGAUACAUAGCUGGUCUGCGAGGAUGACCAGCCACACUGGGACUGAGACACGGCCCAGACUCCUACGGGAGGCAGCAGUGGGUAAUUUUCCGCAAUGGGCGAAAGCCUGACGGAGCAAUCUCGCGUGAGGGAUGACGGCCUAUGGGUUGUAAACCUCUUUUUUCAGGGAGGAACAAAAUGACGUGUACCUGAAGAAUAAGCAUCGGCUAACUCCGUGCCAGCCGCCGCUGUAAUAC